rnacentral:rRNA from 1 species
UACGAAGGGGGCUAGCGUUGCUCGGAAUCACUGGGCGUAAAGCGCACGUAGGCGGCUUCUUAAGUCAGGGGUGAAAUCCCGGGGCUCAACCUCGGAACUGCCUUUGAUACUGCAAAUCUCGAGUCCGGAAGAGGUGAGUGGAAUUCCUAGUGUAGAGGUGAAAUUCGUAGAUAUUAGGAAGAACACCAGUGGCGAAGGCGGCCUGCUGGGCAGUAGCUGACGCUGAUGCGCGACAGCGUGGGGAGCAAACAGG